rnacentral:tRNA from 2 species
GGCCCGGUGGCGGAAUUGGCAGACGCUAGGGAUUUAAAAUCCCUUGUCCUUCGGGACGUGCGGGUUCAAAUCCCGCCCGGGCCA